rnacentral:rRNA from 1 species
UACGUAGGGUGCAAGCGUUAAUCGGAAUUACUGGGCGUAAAGCGUGCGCAGGCGGUUGUGCAAGACAGAUGUGAAAUCCUCGGGCUUAACCUGGGAACUGCAUUUGUGACUGCACGGCUAGAGUGUGUCAGAGGGGGGUAGAAUUCCACGUGUAGCAGUGAAAUGCGUAGAUAUGUGGAGGAAUACCGAUGGCGAAGGCAGCCCCCUGGGAUAACACUGACGCUCAUGCACGAAAGCGUGGGGAGCAAACAGG